CUGCUCACCUCAGCAGCACAUACACUAAAAUUGGAAAAACAAAGAGAAGAUUAGCAUGGCCCACGAAUUCAUAAAGUCUUUCAUAUUUUU
rnacentral:snRNA from 1 species